GCUGGCAUAAAAUUUAUUUGACUUCAUUGUUGAUUUUCCUAUUUGUCUUCUUAGACAGCUAUUUCCCCAAUGGACACUUUUUUAGCAGCCCACAUUUGAAGGAAUAUGUGCAGGACCAGUGAUCCCAGCACCCUGCAGAUGUUAACACUUGUGUGUUUCCCCUUUGCCUUCCACCUGCCAGUUUGAACUUGAUGUAAUAACUCAACCGCAGACUCCAAGAAAAAUAGAUUUGGGAUUUCUCUGUGAUCUAUCGCGGCCAUUACUUUCCCCCUAAUUGAAGGGUCCAUCCACAUUCAAGAGAAAUGAUCACCUGUCAUGGGUAACCCACAAUGGAAGGUUUUGGUUGUUUGUUAGUGGGGUGGACUCUGUUGUGUCAAGUCUUAAGAAAAUAAUGAAUUACAAUGCACACUGAUUCCCAUGGACAUUUUGCAAACCAUCAAGGCCAUAAGUCAUUUUCAGCACCUUUAUUCUGUCCCAACGAGUAAGAUUUGACCACAGUGUGAACAAAUAUAUUAGUCAUCUGAAAGAUCCAAAGACGAUCAUCAAGCAUCCUUUGUCAACAAGGCUUCAAUGGACCUGACUGUUGAGGACCAGAUUUGUCAAUCUUUGCAGACUGGAUAAUUCGCCAUAUUAGCUGUGAGCUUAGCUGAUUGUUUGGAGCUUUCCUGCAUGCAUCCCUGGCCUGACAACUGAGAUCCCUGUGUUAUUUUGUGAUAUCCUUACCAAAAUAUACAAGACAUUCUAUUCAAUUCCAAGAAGCUCAUGAUCUUCAAGGAGAGGUAUGAAAAGAAAAUCUGUGGAUGUCCAGCAUGUGUGUGUGUGCGUGUGCGUGUGCGUGUGCGUGUGUGUGUGUGUGUG